GCUUGCAACUUUACUUAUAAAGGCUGUUCAUCUCAUAGUAUGGCAGAAAGAAGCCUGCAUGGGAUACUUGAAAUCUGAAAUGUAGUAAAAUAACAUUUGUUUGUUUAAACAGCACAGUGAUAGCUUACACUGUUUUUGUAUACUGGUAGCUUUGCCUUAUUUUGUAAAGCCAGUAUAUUUUUCACACACAAGUAUUUAUGUUUUAAAAGUUCUUUGUAAAGGAUUUCAAAAGUGCUCUUGAGAUUUUUUUUAUUAUUAUGCCACCUUUAAACAGGCAGUCAAGUGCUUCUUUUCUAAUUGACUUAAGUUGGAAUGAAAGGUAUUGCUGAAAGUAGUUGUAGCAACUGUCUAAGGCAGGACAUUUUACAAUAGACAGUUACAUACUUUUUGAAGAUUAAAUUUAUUGAAAGUCCUAAUACUUUUUCUGUGUGUUUAUGCUUCAGCAUAGACUAUACACAUGAAUUGGAAAAUGUUAGUUUUCAUGGUACAGACAGUUGCACAACUGAGCCCCCCUAACAUGCCAAAUAAAUUCUUAUUCUGUAAGUAGUUGCUUAGUUUAGAUACCGCCCUGUAUAGAUAGGGGUGGCAGAACAGUGAUCAUGUAGUUUUAGUACAAAAUACAUUAUCUGAAAAACACCUGCAAAUUUGAAAGCAUUGUUUUUUAAAACACAGGCCAUAGAACAUAGAUUUUGUUCAUUUUAAAGUUACCUAGGCAAGAAAACACUGCAAGAACCUGAUGAGUCUCGAUUGCAAAAUGUAAGCGGAUGAAUUUAAGAUCCGCUGAAGUUUUUGUGGCCCCGUAGCACCACCGAGUGGCAACACCGUGAAUAGCAGCGCAGACGGAGGAAACAGAGAUCUUGUAUCUGUCUUGGCUGCUAAGAAGCACCUGGCACAUUUCCAACCUGGUUGAUAUGUCUGCAUAAGCUGAUAACUCUCCAAACAUCAAAGACAUUACAGCAGAAGUUGAAUGAUCUUUUGGAACCGUCUUCUCCUGAAGAAGGUGAUGUGUCCCCAGCCUCCUGUUGCCUUCAUUUCCUCCAUAUGACCCUGUGUUACUAGUUGCUAGUAGCUUCAUGGCCUACGAUGUGUUUUGCCAC
rnacentral:lncRNA from 1 species